GCGACCUUCCCCCCGUGAGCUCUGCUAUUCCCAAUUAUCGCUUGGUCUGGCACAGGAACCCAUAGCGACGACACGGGACUUGGGGAAUGGUGUUCUCCAAUUCUCCCACUAAAACCAUGAGCCACUGCCACUCCCCUCUGCUCCAGUUGGAGGCACAAAAGGUCAAAAUCAUCAGCUGAGACAAGAACGAUAUGCUGGAAACAGCAGCGUGAUAACAACAGUGACAGCAACAAUAUUAAUAACAAAAGGUAUGAGAAAAGAAAGGACUCCCACGGAAACCCCGUGACAACAAGCAAUACCAGACAACUUCCUCACCACAUUUGCUCAACUGGAAGGAAUGCCUUCUGCCCAGAAGGCAUUGUGAGUGAAGUGGUAUAGAAUAACCUCCAUAUCCUGGCAACACCUUCUCCUGGCUACUGCAAAAAUGAUCCCUGUCCUGACCUGAACUAGGACACCUGAACUAGGACAUACCUCUUUAAAAAGUCAGAACUCUACAAAUGACCCAGGGAUCAUAGAAAAUAAAAUGUUAUGGGCAAUUCUA